UACAGAGGGGCGAGCGUUGUUCGGAAUUACUGGGCGUAAAGGGCGCGUAGGCGGCCCGCUAAGUCGAACGUGAAAUCCCCAGGCUCAACCUGGGAACUGCGUCCGAUACUGGCAGGCUUGAAUCCGGGAGAGGGAUGUGGAAUUCCAGGUGUAGCGGUGAAAUGCGUAGAUAUCUGGAGGAACACCGGUGGCGAAGGCGGCAUCCUGGACCGGUAUUGACGCUGAGGCGCGAAAGCUAGGGGAGCAAAGCGGGG
rnacentral:rRNA from 1 species